rnacentral:rRNA from 1 species
CAAGCGUGGAGCAUGUGGUUUAAUUCGAAGCAACGCGAAGAACCUUACCAGGUCUUGACAUCCCGAUGCUAUUUCUAGAGAUGAAAGUUACUUCGGUACAUCGGUGACAGGUGAUGCAUGGUUGUCGUCAGCUCGUGUCGUGAGAUGUUGGGUUAAGUCCCGCAACGAGCGCAACCCCUAUUGUUAGUUGCCAUCAUUCAGUUGGGCACUCUAGCGAGACUGCCGGUAAUAAACCGGAGGAAGGUGGGAUGACGUCAAAUCAUCAUGCCCCUUAUGACCUGGGCUACACACGUGCUACAAUGGUUGGUACAACGAGUUGCGAGUCGGUGACGGCGAGCUAAUCUCUUAAAGCCAAUCUCAGUUCGGAUUGUAGGCUGCAACUCGCCUACAUGAAGUCGGAAUCGCUAGUAAUCGCGGAUCAGCACGCCGCGGUGAAUACGUUCCCGGGCCUU